rnacentral:lncRNA from 1 species
AUUCAUCAGCGAGAGGGGACCUGAAAGCAGGUCGCCAUCUGUGAGGAUUAAAGUUAGGACCAAAUGCUGCUCAGAAAUUGUUUUAAUCUCAAAAGUAGUUGGCAAGUUUUCAGAGUUCAUUUUCAAGGCCUGGUGUAUGCAUUGGUUACAUGAAAACCGUGUGACAACCUUGGAAGUCUGAAAGAGCAGGAGAGAGGCUAAGCACACACAUAUUGUGAUUUUAAGAGUCUCAAGGGCUGACACAAGCUGAGAUGAGGAAAUAUGACCUCCUACACGUGUUUUCCAUGAGGAAUAUGUUUGCUGUGCAGUCACUGAGUUAAAAGCAACCUUCAUUCCCUUGUGCACCAAGGUAAUUUGGAAAACAAGCCAGAGAAGUCAGGACUGCUAUUUCUCAGUCUGAUUUAACCAUUGACAGACUAUUUUUACAUCCACUAUGGAGAUGUUCAGGUAGUGCCUCUCCAGAGCUGUAGAUGUCUUCCCAGGAUAUUCCAUCAUUCUACACAGCAUUUAAUUCUUGGAGCUCACAGUCCAAGACUGUUAUCAGUCCAUUUUCACUCUAUUGAUCAAGACAUACUCAAGACUGGGUAAUUUAUAAAGAAAAUGAAUGGACUCACAGUUUCACGUUGCUGGGGAGGCCUCACAGUCCAGGCAAUCACAGUCUUACAUGGCAGCAAGCAAGAGCGAAUGAGAACCAAGCAAAAGGGAAACUCAUUAUAAAACCAUCAGCUAUUGUGAGACUUCUUCACUACCACAAGAAUAGUAUGGGGUAAACCUCCCCCAUGAUUCAAUUAUCUCCCACCAGGUUCCUCCCAGAGCACGUGGGAAUUAUGGGAGCUACAAUUCAAGAUGAGAUUUGGGUAGGUACACAGCCAAACUAUAUCAGUGACUCAUCUAGAAUUUUAUUCAUAUAGGUUUAAACAAUGGUUAACAUGUACAGUUAUAAGAUCAUUCUCAUUUACAAAUUUAAUGUUUA